rnacentral:misc_RNA from 1 species
AUAAUGAUAUCCAGCAAACACAGUGCCUUCUUGGCCAUAGCAGCCAAGGUCACUCCCUGUUGGUGCAAGAAGAUGGGGUCCCUGGAUAUUAAGAGGAAGAAAGAAUUAUCAUGAAAUAAACAAAAAGUUUUAAUAACUACAAUUUCACCAAUUGAAAUUAUAAGAAUAUAAUACAUAUUAUGCUUAAUAAAAAAGAAUAGACACAAAUGAUUUAAAGAGGGAGCAAUAAAGAGUACGUAUUGAAAAGGUUAUUAGAAUACCAUGCAUCCCACUCACAUUAUGUCUCAACAAACUACCAGACUAUUAAAUCAAGUUAUGACAUUAUCAAGCCCUUGGGAAUUAAGUGGCCACAUAUCCAGAAUUUGGGCCUCAAGUCAAAUAGUGAAGGGCUGGGUCUAGGUUUACUCCUAAACAAGCCCAAUGAAAAGCAAAUAAGUAAACAAACAAACAACCAUAGCAUAGAGUUAAAAAUAUAUCCCACAGCCCCAAAGGAAAAAAAGUUAGUACAUUGUCAGAAACUUUCAGUAUUGGUCAACGCAUACUGAUACAGAUUACAAGGCAUUUGCAUUGAAGUAGCUUCUGUAAUCUUACAAUGCAAAUUGAGUACUUUCCAUUCAGGUCCGUUGGGAAUUAACAAUUUAGAAAACCCUGUUUCAUGUGUGACAUUGACAUUGUAAAUUCACCAAUCCAAAGGCAAAGAGGAGAAAAAGAAAGGUUCUGGCUUUAUGGAUCAGAUGAAAAGUUUGUGUCACUACUAUCCUUUUGAUGCAGUAUAGUGGAAAACUGAUCAAGUGCUUGUCAUUGCAAGGGCCCCAAUGUCAUCCAUCAGUUCUCAUUAAAAAAGUAGAAUAAGUAUGUUCCAGCACCUGCUUCAUAAUAGAAGUAAAUGCAUCCUUGGGCAAACCAAAACCAAUUGCGGCCAUUUCAGCAACAGCCUCUAUUGCUGAGAUCAUUUUGUGCCCCCAUGAGUCCAUAGUUUCUUUCCAUUCUGGGAAACCUUCAGGUAUUACAGGUUCUGAAUUAAGUUCCUUAAAGUGGGUGUUCAACGGCCGAGGACCUACUCUCCACAUGUAUCGCCACUUGCGAUCCGGUCCUUUCGGAGUGGAUGGUUGGAACUCUUUGGGCAUUGCUUUUAAUUCCUCUUGCAUCUCUUCAUCAACCAGGCUCCUUGGAACUUCUACUCCUUCAGGGGUCACCCCAACCUGGUAAUGCAAUUGGGGUCUCUCCUGCAACCUCUUGAACUCCGGUGGUCUCUCGAAGUACUUCUCCAUCAUAUCUAUAAACCGAUCGUUAUCAUCCGCCGAACAUCUCGGGUCCUUAACUACCAAAGCUCCUGUUUCUCUAAGGAUCCUGCUCACCUCCUUACACAAUUCACCAAGCCAGGGCCCAAGUUCUCCGAGUUGACGGGACAAUUUCACUGGGUCUGUGCUCAGCUUAUCGGCGAUCUCUAAGUAUCGCGUUAGAUCUAUCACUGGAAUAUCCAUUCCUUUUUCUUCUAAAAGGAAGAGAGUAGGAAAAAGAGAGUAUUGGGGUAGUGGCGGGAGAUGGGGAAGCUGGGUCUAUUAUUAUAAAAAUGUACAGCCGCG